AGCGAACGCUGGCGGCAGGCCUAACACAUGCAAGUCGAACGAACUGGUCGGGGUUAGGGGCGGAGGGGGGGGGGACACGGGGGGAGGAACCCGUGGGUUCGGAAUAACUGACGGAAGGUUGAGCUAAUACCGAAGGGGCUCUUAGGGGGAAGGAGUUAUCGCCGUUGGAGCGGCCCUGGUCUGAUUCGGUGGUUGGGGAGGUAAUGGCGGACCAAGGAGACGUUCAGUAGCUGGUGGGAGAGGAUGCUCCGCCACAAUGGGAAUGAGACCCGGCCUACUAGCCUACGGGAGGCAGCAGAGGGGAGUCUUGCGCGAGGAGCGAUAACCUGACGCAGCCAUGCCGCGUGAAUGAUGAAGCUCUUAGGAUUGUAAAUUUCUUUCACCGGGGACGUUAGUGACGGUACCCGGAGAAGAAGCCCCGGCUAACUUCGUG
rnacentral:rRNA from 1 species